GAUGAAGAACGUAGCGAAAUGCGAUAAGUAGUGUGAAUUGCAGAAUUCAGUGAAUCAUCGAAUCUUUGAACGCACAUUGCGCCCCAUGGUAUUCCGUGGGGCAUGCCUGUUCGAGCGUCAUUUACCCCCUCAAGCUCCGCUUGGUGUUGGGCGUCUGUCCCGCUUCGCGCGCGGACUCGCCCCAAAGGUAUUGGCAGCGGUCGUGCCAGCUUCUCGCGCAGCACAUUGCGCUUCUCGAGGCACCGGUGGGCCCGCGUCCAUCAAGCUCACCCCCCCAGUUUGACCUCGGAUCAGGUAGGGAUACCCGCUGAACUUAAGCAUAUCAAUAAGCUGAGGA
rnacentral:misc_RNA from 1 species